AGUUAUCCAGCUCUACGAUUUAACACUCCAUAGAACAAAAAAGAGGAUAAAGAGACAACGACACGUGCUUUCGCGUUUUAUAUUUUUAAACGCGGAAAGCAAUAAAAACAAUCAACUUCUUAACAACUAAGGGAAAAGAACUCGCCAGAAAACUGGUAAUACUACUGUAACGUAAACAAACGUCGUUACCCACGAAAGACAAAAAAGUCGGAAAAGGAUAUGGAUAUCUAAUGUACGAAAACAACUUUAUGGAUCCAAAAGUAAUAUCUUCCUCAAGUCCUUCCCCAAUUGUCUCGCCGGUACUGUGAAAAGGGAGAAAUCGCUAUUUUUUGAAAAUUUUUCGUGUCGAUAAAGUCGCGUUAUUUUUCGUUAUUUUUCGUUAUCUUUCUCAGCGCAUCAAUCCAAACUGACCUUGAACUGUAUUAAUCUGACCUAACAAUACUAUGUACUGCAGUGUAAUCUCGUUAAAGUAAUUUAAGAAAUUUCAUUAUGCAGACAUAAUGAUGCGUUAGGCUGAAAACCGUCUAGUGGUAUUGUUUAAAAAAGAUGGCCGUGCUAUUGAACUAAGAAGUUUAGUAGGACAGUAAUGUUUUAUUAUAUUAUAUUCUUUAGGUAAGUUAACUAUAGCAAUGAAUCUUUAUCACUAGAAUCUGACUAUGGGUGACUUAUAGGUUAUGGCGAUAGGUAACGCAAUUUAGUAUCGUUUCCUUGGUCAAAACCUGAAAUAAAGAUCUGGGAACAAAGUCAAAUAUUGUUUAGCAUGUAGUA